CUGCGAGGUGCUAUUUAAGUAUCUCGCGGAGGCCCUUCGGUCUCAUUUUACCACGGAGUGCGGGUUCAGGCGCACCUUUGAACGCUGGAGAAUGGAGAAGAGCCGACUUGCGUGGAUGCGGUUCGGCUCUAAAGACCCUAGAGGUUUGAGGGUGAGACAAGACCUAUCACGUGAUCCCUGCAAACUAGGCCUCACUGUGAUGUUCCAGCAUCUCAUCACUAGGCCUGAGGAACCCAACCGUCUGCCUGGGUGAAUACAGGUUGUCCUGAUGGUGAUACAUUCAUCUGUUCUACGACUCCAUUCCCAACGUGAGGCUCA